rnacentral:rRNA from 1 species
GAUGAACGCCAGCUACAGGCUUAACACAUGCAAGUCGAGGGGAAACGAUAGAGAAAGCUUGCUUUUUCUAGGCGUCGACCGGCGCACGGGUGAGUAACGCGUAUCCAACCUGCCCAUCACUUGGGGAUAACCUUGCGAAAGUAAGACUAAUACCCAAUGACGUCUCUAGAAGACAUCUGAAAGAGAUUAAAGAUUUAUCGGUGAUGGAUGGGGAUGCGUCUGAUUAGCUUGUUGGCGGGGUAACGGCCCACCAAGGCGACGAUCAGUAGGGGUUCUGAGAGGAAGGUCCACCAAAUUGGAACUGAGACACGGUCCAAACUCCUACGGGAGGCAGCAGUGAGGAAUAUUGGUCAAUGGGCGAGAGCCUGAACCAGCCAAGUAGCGUGCAGGAUGACGGCCCUAUGGGUUGUAAACUGCUUUUAUAAGGGAAUAAAGUGAGUCUCGUGAGACUUUUUGCAUGUACCUUAUGAAUAAGGACCGGCUAAUUCCGUGCCAGCAGCCGCCGUAA